UGGGGAAUAUUGGACAAUGGGCGCAAGCCUGAUCCAGCCAUGCCGCGUGAGUGAUGAAGGCCUUAGGGUUGUAAAGCUCUUUCAGUGGGGACGAUAAUGACGGCACCCCGCGAAUAAGCCCCGGCUAACUACGUGCCAGCAGCCGCGGUAAUGCGUAGGGGGCGAGCGUUGCUCGGAUUGACUGGGCGUAAAGCGCGCGUAGGCGGUCCAUUAAGUGUGUGGUGAAAUGCAGAGGCUCAACCUCUGUCCCGCCGCGCAAACUGGUGGUCUUGAGAUUGGGAGGGGGAUGCGGAAUUCCUGGUGUAGCGGUGAAAUGCAUUGAUAUCAGGAGGAACACCGGCGGCGAAGGCGGCAUCCUGGCUUAUAUCUGACGCUGAGGCGCGAAAGCGUGGGUAGCAAACG
rnacentral:rRNA from 1 species